rnacentral:rRNA from 1 species
CCCCGAAAUAUUAUGAGCUGUUUAUCUAUUGUCAAGAACCCCCUUAUUUUUGUGGCAACAAAAUAAAAAAAUAUAUAGACAGAAGCUACAUACUAACCGCAUAAUAUUAUAGCUGGUUUCUUUUAAAAGUUAUAUAAGUAACAAAAAUAAAACUUAUUAUUUUAAUACAUAGAGGAAAAGCUCUAUGUACUCCCUCUGUUGAAAAACAAUUUAACCCUUAAGGUAGACUUAAAAAUAGCCACCUACAAAAAUGUUAUAAUCCCUAUAAAAAAAAAUAAUAUUUUAAAAAACGAUAAAUAAAAAGAAACUUCUACAAACACAAGUUAGUGAAAUAAAAUGUUAAAACUAGUAUUAAUAGAUAAAAAUCAUACACAUAAAUACUCUCCCAUAUACAAUAAAGGAACUCGGCAAACACUUAUUUCGACUGUUUAUCAAAAACAUAGCCUCAUGUAAAUAUAUGAGGUACUUCCUGCCCAGUGAUAUUUAACGGCCGCAGUACUCUGACUGUGCAAAGGUAGCAUAAUCAUUUGCCUUUUAAUUGAAGGCUAGAAUGAAUGGACUCACGAAAAUAAAACUGUCUCUACUAUACCCAUAAAAACUAGAACUCCAGUGAAAAUACUCGAAUAAAAAUAAAGGACAAAAAGACCCUAUAGAGCUGCAUCCGCCACGACCUAUAAAGUACCAUAUACUAUAUAAAUCUGCCGCGGAUUAUGUUGGGGCGACAAAGGAAUAUAAAAAUCUUCCUUAUAUAAAAAGAACAACAGUUCAAUAAAAAGAUCCUAAAAAGACCAAAGGAAAAAGCUACCUUAGGGAUAACAGGCUAAUCUCCUUAGAGAGUUCAUAUUGACAAGGAGGAUUGGCACCUCGAUGUUGGCUUAAGGUAUCCCUUAGGUGCAGAAGCCUAAAAAGGUUGGUUUGUUCAACCAUUAAAACCUUACAUGAGCUGAGUUCAGACCGGCGAAAGCCAGGUUAGUUUCUAUCCUUAUUUACAUAAACCUACUAAGUAGUACGAAAGGACCCU